rnacentral:tRNA from 1 species
GGAGAAUUGACAGAGCAGGUAAUGUGCGGGUUUGCUACACCCAGGCUAUCGCUCCGGCGAUACAAAGGUUCGAUUCCUUUAUUCUCCG